rnacentral:rRNA from 1 species
GAUGAACGCUGGCGGCGUGCCUAAUACAUGCAAGUCGAGCGAACGGACGAGAAGCUUGCUUCUCUGAUGUUAGCGGCGGACGGGUGGGUAACACGUGGAUAACCUACCUAUAAGACUGGGAUAACUUCGGGAAACCGGAGCUAAUACCGGAUAAUAUUUUGAACCGCAUGGUUCAAAAGUGAAAGACGGUCUUGCUGUCACUUAUAGAUGGAUCCGCGCCGCAUUAGCUAGUUGGUAAGGUAACGGCUUACCAAGGCAACGAUGCAUAGCCGACCUGAGAGGGUGAUCGGCCACACUGGAACUGAGACACGGUCCAGACUCCUACGGGAGGCAGCAGUAGGGAAUCUUCCGCAAUGGGCGAAAGCCUGACGGAGCAACGCCGCGUGAGUGAUGAAGGUCUUCGGAUCGUAAAACUCUGUUAUUAGGGAAGAACAUAUGUGUAAGUAACUGUGCACAUCUUGACGGUACCUAAUCAGAAAGCCACGGCUAACUACGUG